rnacentral:lncRNA from 1 species
GUGCAUUGCAUGGAAAACUGCUCUGCUUUGUUUUCUUUAGCAAGAUGUAUUUUGUAAAGGAACCCAAUACUUUAUUAAGUAAUGAAAUUUGUUGUCAUAAAAUUAAUUGUAGUAAUUGUUUCUUAUAAUAAUAUAAAGUACUUGAAAUUUAUAAUUAUUCUAUAUUUCCCAAAUAAUCUUUAUGUAUUAAUUACAGCUAUAUCAAAUCAAUAGCAUAACAAAGGAUGAAGCUACAUGAAACAGUUGACAACAUUGAGGUGGUACUUAUAAAACCAAAAGCUACUAAGGUUGGAAUAACUGAUUAUGACCGAGCAGCACAAAACAGAACCAUCUCACCUGUCAUGGCCCCAUGGCUCUUCCAAAACUGAAAUCAAGUGUGAAGAAAUGAUGGGAAACUUGCUGGUCCAAUCACAAGUCAUCUGAAAUUUACCUAUAACAAGCAUAAACCAAUAAGUUACAUUGCUUUAGGCCUAUUUCUUUAAUUCUGAUUCAUAAAUCACACUUCACACAUAGUAAGUGCUUGAUAAAUAUUUGCUGAAAAUAAUUAAAUGUAUUCAAGUAUAAUUAUAAUAUAACACAACUUUCCAAACCCUCACUAUGCUAACAUUAGUUCAUUGAUUUCAGAAACCUUGAGGUUUUACCUACUCAGUGGCAGUGGCUGAAAUUUCCCAUGUGGUGAAGAUUUCCCCUUAUACAGUUUUGUCUCAGUCAAGGAGAUCUACUGUACUCUUCUUAUGCUCCAAUAGGGCAAUGGCAUCCUCUGAUGGUCGUCACUUUUUCUUCUAACAUGAUGAAGAUUCUCUGAGAUAAGGCCAUGGAGCCAGGAAAAACAAUUCUUGCCCCACCAUUGCAUGUUCCUUGUAUUUCCCGGACUGGAAGCCUUCUUUCUAGAUCACAUAUGCUGGUAAGUAGAAGAACUGAUGUACAAACUCUGUUGGUCUGACUGCCAGCCCCACAGUGACACCCCACCUGCCCACACAUACGCCAUGUGGUAUAUGGCAGUGAUAUUCCAUCCUCUGCAUGUUCCUUCCUGAUCUGAAGAUUAUGCACAAGAAUUUCCACCUUCCAGGGCUGGCAUUGUGGCAUAGCAAGUAAAGCCACCUCUACAGUGUUAGUGUUCCCUGUGGGCACCAUUUCGAGUCCUCGCUGCUUUACUUCCAGUCCAGCUCCCUGCUGUAGUCUGGGAAAGCAUCAGAAGAUGGCCCAAGUCCUUUGACCCCUGUACCCAGGUGGGUGACCACAAGAAGCUCCAGGCUCCCGGUUUUGGAUCAACCCAGCUCCUGCCAUUGCAAACGUCUGGGGAGAGAACGAAAGGGUGAAAGCCCUCUCUCUCUGUCUACCUCUGCCUCUGCCUCUCUGUAACUCUGCCUUUUAAAUAAAUAAAUAAAUAAAUAAAUAAAUAAGAAUUUC